AGUGAACGCUGGCGGUAGGCCUAACACAUGCAAGUCGAACGGCAGCACAGUAAGAGCUUGCUCUUACGGGUGGCGAGUGGCGGACGGGUGAGGAAUACAUCGGAAUCUACUUUUUCGUGGGGGAUAACGUAGGGAAACUUACGCUAAUACCGCAUACGACCUACGGGUGAAAGCAGGGGAUCUUCGGACCUUGCGCGAUUGAAUGAGCCGAUGUCGGAUUAGAUAGUUGGGGGGGUAAAGUCCCACCAAGGCGACGAUCCGUAGCUGGUCGGAGAGGAUGAUCAGCCACACUAGAACUGAGACACGGUCCAGACUCCUACGGGAGGCAGCAGUGGGGAAUAUUGGACAAUGGGAGCGAGCCUGAUCCAGCCAUACCGCGUGGGUGAAGAAGGCCUUCGGGUUGUAAAGCCCUUUUGUUGGGAAAGAAAAGCAGCAGGUUAAUACCCCGCUGUUCUGACGGUACCCAAAGAAUAAGCACCGGCUAACUUCGUG
rnacentral:rRNA from 1 species